CUGCGAUGUGGUUGUGUUUGGCCAAAGAAACUUGUGUAGCCUUAGGUUUCACUUUGACAACUUAGUUUUUGUUCUUUGGUUCGAGGCCGCAGGAAGGUGACGAUGGGCAGCUCAGGCCCGUAAUCGGCUCACUUGAAGACUACCUAACCCUAAAUGUAGACAUCAUUUGAGCUUUNNCACAUAGAUCGUUGAUUUUGUGUUGCUUAGAUUUACUGGAAGCCUUGCUUUAUUUUUCUAGGACUUCUUAGGGGCGACACUUUUUGUUUCUUCCUUUCUGUUUGAGACCCCUUGGUGGAGGAGCUUGUUGUUCUACCUUUCUAUUUGAGAUUCCGACGAUCCUCUUCCAUACAAUAAUGAAGGUUGGCGA
rnacentral:misc_RNA from 1 species